UUCAAAGUUUGUUUGUAGAUAUAGGUGUUCGCAACCCCUGGACUGAUUUAAAAAAAAUACAACAAUAAAUUUAUUUUGGUAGUUUCGGUUAGCAGUCUUUCAAAAUUGCGUUGAUUAAUUAUUUAUCAUCACCGUCGUUUCGGUCCGGCUGUUGGACCAUCUUCUCUUUGGAAAUCACGGGAUAAGACAUUUUUUAAUUUUAAAUGUGUUCUACCUACAUAUUGCAUAAUAAUCAAUUUCGCCCCUGAGGAUCAAUUUUAUUCUCCUUAGUCAUUUUUAUUUUAUUUUAUCUAAAAUCAAUCACGUAGGCGUACAGAGAUUAACGAUGUUCUGAUUUUGUUGAAAUUAGUUUGAAAAUAUUUGAAAUGCCAAUAAUAAUACAUAAAUCAGAAACUUCUAAAAUAUCGAUGAAUUUGUCUCUGAUUUACGGUGUUUGAAAAACGUUUAUCUGAAUUUAAUCCUUCUGACAGUUGCUAUUAAGGCUCAAGAGAGAAUCGAGCAUUUUCCAAAAACGAAAAAGCAGUUUUUAUUAGGUAGUCCAAAAAAUCACGAAAAACAAGAUCGUCCAUUUACCAUGUUUAACAAAAUAGAGACUCGGGAUUUUAUAUUUUUCUAGAGUUGUUUCAGAAGAGAACGAUUUGUAUUUGAACCUUAAGAAUAUUUUCGUGGUGUUCAUCUGAUAAAAACACUAAUAUCAUUGUUUUUCAUAUAAUUUGUUGAUCUGUACUAUCAAAAGAGCGUAAUUUCAAAACGGACUCUACUAUAUUUUUUUUAAAUUGCUCUGCCAUGCAUUUCAGCCACAGAUUUGAUGUAGAUUUUCUUCUGAUAACAACGGUCUGGGGAGCACCGUGACGCCAUUCGGUGCUGGUGGUCGACCAAAAAGCUGCUCUUUCGAGUUCAGCCAAGCCGAAUCCCGGCUUUACUCUUCUGCUGUAUCCGAUCAACCGAGCAACCCUUUUCCGGUUUCCUAUAUUUAUAUACCCGCCCCGCGCGCAGAGAGAAUAGCGUUUUUAUGAAGGGUGGAACCGCCAUGGGGAAGGAAUCUUUCGAGGGAAAACGCCAAAUUUAAUUUUGUGGCCACUUUUCCGAUUCGAUUCCUUCGUUUGUGAGGGACAAAGUGGAUUCGGCGGAAAUUCCUCCAACAUUGUAAAUAAAAUCUGUAUCUAGAAAUCAUCGAUUGUGAAUAGAAGUUUUCCCCUUUCUACGUUUACUAACAAAGUGAGGCUACUCGAGGUAUUAUCGUCUGAUGGAUAUUUAACCAAAGGUCCCCUCUUAAUGAUAGUUAGUGCAAAUGUUUCAAAAAUCGAAGUCAAUAAACCAGUAAAAUCUGUACCGAAAAGUAUUAUUCAUAUACAACUGAAAACA